rnacentral:lncRNA from 1 species
CUUGUAUGCAUGAGGCCCUGGAUUCAAUCCUUAGCACCACAUAAAAAUAAAUAAAUAAAGAUAUUUUAAAAUGAAAAAAAAAAAGAAACAUCCUGUAAGAAUACAGGACUAGCUAGUAACUAAAGUAUAUAAAAAUGGAAACGUUCAAACGUGCUAGCUGUUGUUAGAUUUAAUAUGUUGAGGGAGUCUGUGUCCAUGAAAAGACAGGCUAUAUUUGAUCCUCAUAUCCUGCUUUGUCCCUCUGUUUGCAAACAUUUCCCUCCUUUACUAUUUGUGAACACCUUUGAGGGAAAUCCUUAUAUGAGUGAAUAUCAGUUUGGACCAUAGGUCUAUAUACAAAGCUCUUUUUUCUUUUUCUAUGUGUCCCUGAUUAUGCCCAUGCCAUCAAAGGAACUAACAGGCUUUCUCAUUUAUUUUACUAAGAAUUCCAAAGGGCUGAUUCUAUGUUGGUAAUUCUUAAUGGUCUUUUGGAAUAUGGGUAGUUGCCACCUUAGAUUCCAUUACUGGAAACAUCUGUUUCUACCUGAUGGAAAUAACCAAAGGGUUAUCUGACAAGAUAAAGAGGGGAUUAAUAUGUCCAGUGGGAAAAUAAGCAGGAGGAGAAAAACCACUUUAAAACCAAUUUUACCACUCUCUGAAGAAGCAAUUCCUCACAUAAAACAGAAAAUUGAACAUGUUUAGGAAUUUAUAGACACUAUAGGUAGUGAGAUUUCUUCUAAAUAAAUAUGUAAUAAACACUGCAUUGUAAUGAGGAGGACUUUGGUAUAUGUACUUCGAACAAAAUUGCAGAAGAAACCUCAAAUCACAUAAUCAUGGGAUUAGGAAGGAAUUUAGAAAGCAUCUGGUCAAGUCCUCCUUAAAGUAUCUUCUUGCGUCAAAAGAGACCCAGUUCUUAUUAAUGUGAAAGCAGAGAAACAAUCACACAUAGGACUAAAUACCCAACAAGACCUCUAACUGGUCCUUUUUAAGAUUCAGUGACUGCUGCAUUGAAGUAUUUAUUGUGCAAGAAAAGAAACAAAAUUUUAAAAUAAAACUUGGCUCUAAGGUUAACUUUUUUAGUUUAACAGUGUUCCUGACAGUUUCACCACUUAUGAAAUAAAUUCAACCUUUUAAGGUCUCUCAGGAAAAUUCUCUUUGUGAUACCAUGUUUAGGAAACAGAGAUCCAAAUGCCAUAUGGUAGCAUAAGAGCUGUUUAAAGUCUGAGCAGAAGGGAAGGCAUUCUGAAAACCAUAGCCUUUGAGACUCAGUUAUAGUCCAGCAGUAUUUAGCCUGGAGAAGGCAUCCCACUUAGCACUUUGUAUUCUCUGAAAGAGCACUGUGUGGAAGAUGGCAGUCUUAUUCUGACACAGUGCCAGGCCAACAGGUGGAAGUUUCUGUGAGCCUAGCUUUGGAUAAUGGUGGGAAAUGCUGAGUCCUCUUCACAGCCUCCCCAUAAAGUACAGAUUUUCUUUAUCCAUGGGAAAACCCUGAAACAGGCAUUGAGUCCCAUUCCCAAAGUCACAGCUAGAAAGUGCAGAGGAUCUAUAGGAAGUCAGUCCUCUCUGGGGGUCUCCUGCAAACCCAGUGAAAAACUCAUGUCUCCAUGCUGAUGAACUAGGGGGAUCUCUUUGGCUUGGCUCUUUGAAGAGAAAUGACUACAGUAUUACAUCACAUCUAAGAGUUCUGGCUAAACAGCCAGGCUGAGUUCAAAUUGUAAUUUGUCUCUUCUUAGCUGGGAUUUCUUAUUCUUACUGAGCCUGAGCUUUCCUUGCCUAUGAUAUGUAAGUGAUGGUAGCAUUCAUCUCACUGGGUUGUUCUGAGGAUUAACUUUUAAUAAAUACAGACCAUGUAAAACAGUGCCUGGCAGUAUGUACUCAAUAAAUUCUAGCUAAAUAAUUUGGA